rnacentral:rRNA from 1 species
GGUUAAGCGACUAAGCGUACACGGUGGAUGCCCUGGCAGUCAGAGGCGAUGAAGGACGUGCUAAUCUGCGAUAAGCGUCGGUAAGGUGAUAUGAACCGUUAUAACCGGCGAUUUCCGAAUGGGGAAACCCAGUGUGAUUCGUCACACUAUCAUUAACUGAAUCCAUAGGUUAAUGAGGCGAACCGGGGGAACUGAAACAUCUAAGUACCCCGAGGAAAAGAAAUCAACCGAGAUUCCCCCAGUAGCGGCGAGCGAACGGGGAGCAGCCCAGAGCCUGAAUCAGUGUGUGUGUUAGUGGAAGCGUCUGGAAAGGCGUGCGAUACAGGGUGACAGCCCCGUACACAAAAAUGCACAUACUGUGAGCUCGAUGAGUAGGGCGGGACACGUGGUAUCCUGUCUGAAUAUGGGGGGACCAUCCUCCAAGGCUAAAUACUCCUGACUGACCGAUAGUGAACCAGUACCGUGAGGGAAAGGCGAAAAGAACCCCGGCGAGGGGAGUGAAAAAGAACCUGAAACCGUGUACGUACAAGCAGUGGGAGCACGCUUAGGCGUGUGACUGCGUACCUUUUGUAUAAUGGGUCAGCGACUUAUAUUCUGUAGCAAGGUUAACCGAAUAGGGGAGCCGAAGGGAAACCGAGUCUUAACUGGGCGUUAAGUUGCAGGGUAUAGACCCGAAACCCGGUGAUCUAGCCAUGGGCAGGUUGAAGGUUGGGUAACACUAACUGGAGGACCGAACCGACUAAUGUUGAAAAAUUAGCGGAUGACUUGUGGCUGGGGGUGAAAGGCCAAUCAAACCGGGAGAUAGCUGGUUCUCCCCGAAAGCUAUUUAGGUAGCGCCUCGUGAAUUCAUCUCCGGGGGUAGAGCACUGUUUCGGCAAGGGGGUCAUCCCGACUUACCAACCCGAUGCAAACUGCGAAUACCGGAGAAUGUUAUCACGGGAGACACACGGCGGGUGCUAACGUCCGUCGUGAAGAGGGAAACAACCCAGACCGCCAGCUAAGGUCCCAAAGUCAUGGUUAAGUGGGAAACGAUGUGGGAAGGCCCAGACAGCCAGGAUGUUGGCUUAGAAGCAGCCAUCAUUUAAAGAAAGCGUAAUAGCUCACUGGUCGAGUCGGCCUGCGCGGAAGAUGUAACGGGGCUAAACCAUGCACCGAAGCUGCGGCAGCGACGCUUAUGCGUUGUUGGGUAGGGGAGCGUUCUGUAAGCCUGCGAAGGUGUGCUGUGAGGCAUGCUGGAGGUAUCAGAAGUGCGAAUGCUGACAUAAGUAACGAUAAAGCGGGUGAAAAGCCCGCUCGCCGGAAGACCAAGGGUUCCUGUCCAACGUUAAUCGGGGCAGGGUGAGUCGACCCCUAAGGCGAGGCCGAAAGGCGUAGUCGAUGGGAAACAGGUUAAUAUUCCUGUACUUGGUGUUACUGCGAAGGGGGGACGGAGAAGGCUAUGUUGGCCGGGCGACGGUUGUCCCGGUUUAAGCGUGUAGGCUGGUUUUCCAGGCAAAUCCGGAAAACUAAGGCUGAGGCGUGAUGACGAGGCACUACGGUGCUGAAGCAACAAAUGCCCUGCUUCCAGGAAAAGCCUCUAAGCAUCAGGUAACAUCAAAUCGUACCCCAAACCGACACAGGUGGUCAGGUAGAGAAUACCAAGGCGCUUGAGAGAACUCGGGUGAAGGAACUAGGCAAAAUGGUGCCGUAACUUCGGGAGAAGGCACGCUGAUAUGUAGGUGAAGUCCCUCGCGGAUGGAGCUGAAAUCAGUCGAAGAUACCAGCUGGCUGCAACUGUUUAUUAAAAACACAGCACUGUGCAAACACGAAAGUGGACGUAUACGGUGUGACGCCUGCCCGGUGCCGGAAGGUUAAUUGAUGGGGUUAGCGCAAGCGAAGCUCUUGAUCGAAGCCCCGGUAAACGGCGGCCGUAACUAUAACGGUCCUAAGGUAGCGAAAUUCCUUGUCGGGUAAGUUCCGACCUGCACGAAUGGCGUAAUGAUGGCCAGGCUGUCUCCACCCGAGACUCAGUGAAAUUGAACUCGCUGUGAAGAUGCAGUGUACCCGCGGCAAGACGGAAAGACCCCGUGAACCUUUACUAUAGCUUGACACUGAACAUUGAGCCUUGAUGUGUAGGAUAGGUGGGAGGCUUUGAAGUGUGGACGCCAGUCUGCAUGGAGCCGACCUUGAAAUACCACCCUUUAAUGUUUGAUGUUCUAACGUUGACCCGUGAUCCGGGUUGCGGACAGUGUCUGGUGGGUAGUUUGACUGGGGCGGUCUCCUCCUAAAGAGUAACGGAGGAGCACGAAGGUUGGCUAAUCCUGGUCGGACAUCAGGAGGUUAGUGCAAUGGCAUAAGCCAGCUUGACUGCGAGCGUGACGGCGCGAGCAGGUGCGAAAGCAGGUCAUAGUGAUCCGGUGGUUCUGAAUGGAAGGGCCAUCGCUCAACGGAUAAAAGGUACUCCGGGGAUAACAGGCUGAUACCGCCCAAGAGUUCAUAUCGACGGCGGUGUUUGGCACCUCGAUGUCGGCUCAUCACAUCCUGGGGCUGAAGUAGGUCCCAAGGGUAUGGCUGUUCGCCAUUUAAAGUGGUACGCGAGCUGGGUUUAGAACGUCGUGAGACAGUUCGGUCCCUAUCUGCCGUGGGCGCUGGAGAACUGAGGGGGGCUGCUCCUAGUACGAGAGGACCGGAGUGGACGCAUCACUGGUGUUCGGGUUGUCAUGCCAAUGGCACUGCCCGGUAGCUAAAUGCGGAAGAGAUAAGUGCUGAAAGCAUCUAAGCACGAAACUUGCCCCGAGAUGAGUUCUCCCUGACUCCUUGAGAGUCCUGAAGGAACGUUGAAGACGACGACGUUGAUAGGCCGGGUGUGUAAGCGCAGCGAUGCGUUGAGCUAACCGGUACUAAUGAACCGUGAGGCUUAACCUU